GGGACAGGGACUGGACCAGGCUUCUGACCCUGCUGGGGCAGGACCACAGGAGAAAGACUGAAUAAAGCCGUGAUUCUCCCCGGACCAAGGGUAGACACUUUCCUUUUGCCAUCGAUGGGGGCCUGCUCUCUCUAAAGGAAAAUGUUCCAGCCUCUCUGAGAUCUUUGGGACCCUGAGGAAAAAAAUCCUUCCAGCUGUGGUUUCUCUCUCAAGCUAGCCGAGGCAAAAACAGAGCCGGGGCUCUGAGAGAGAGGCACGCAAGCUGUGAGACUGAAGAAUCUCUCAAAAUCAGAAGAAACUGCUGACUACUCAGAAGUUACUGACAAGGAACAAAACUGCAUAAGUUUCAUUUCCUUAGGAAAAGAUUAACAAGUCAACAUGCCAGAGUACCUACAUUUUGAUUACUUUAAAAUGAAAAAUCUUUGCAAGCAAACUCUUCUCAAGAAGUCCAGUUCUAAGUAAAAUGUUAUCUGUGGAUGUAUUGUUUGUGAGCCAGACUUUGUGGCAUUCUUAACAUGUAUCCUGGAGGCUGGACAGAAACAGGCUGGCCCUGGAUGAGGUUGAUGGAGAUCCCUGAAUGGAUGGACCUAGCACAUACAGAAACCAAUAGCUAGUUCAAGACUAGCAUCCUUUGGUCUUCUCUCUUUAAAGAUGACAUAGUCCUUCUGAGAAAGAGCCUUGGGUUAUUAUCACAGUUGCUUGGAUGUAGAAGUUCCAGUAGUUUUUGCUUCUUUUGAAGGUGAAUCUGAUCCUAUGAAAAUGAAACUGAUUAACAGACAGAAAAUAGCAGACAUCUCUGUAUGGAGAGUUGAAGUAUAGAGAAAAACAUAAAUUCACUUACUGGGAAUUGAGGAAAGAUACUGUGUGCAAAACAUAUUUUUUCUGUCAGUACUGUGCAGCAACGGUAGACGUAUAGCUCUAUAUUUACAGGAAGCAUCAGAAAGACAGAACACAGGCCAAAUUACAGCAGAAUUAUUUUCUCCAUGAAUUAUCUCUCUCAAAGUGAAUUAAAGUAUUACCUUGAAACUAAUGGAAAUAUUUGUGGAAAAGGUUAUCAUAAUACUAGUAUGCUGGUCUUAUGAAGAGCAGGGCUAUUAGAGAAUCACAGAAAUCAUAGAAUAUCCUGAGCUAGAAGGAACAGCGGAAUUAAAAACCUUGGAAGAUCACUUUAGGGAGAACUAUUUUAAUAAAAUAUAUCUUUAUUUGGUAGAAUGCUUCACAUCCACCAAGGCAAAAAAUUCCUUAUCUGAAGUCAUCAUGUUUCACUGUUAGCAUUAAAAAUCAAUGAUAUGAAUGCUGUUGGUGCUAGUGUGUAAAAAAGCAUAGGCAAAAGUAUUUCAAAAAUAUUAGGAAAAAUCUUUGAAACAAUAGUCUUUAAAUAAUGUUUUUCUAAAGCAAAGAAUAGAAGUUCAUACUUUCUGUCCUUGCCCUGCAACCAUACUAAUUAAAAAGUGAUCAGAAAAAAAUCUCAACCUCAAAACUCCAAAAUAUAUCCCAAGAUCAUGGAAUCAUAUAAAACAAGAAGCUUUAAUGUGGAAACAAAUACUGUAAGAUUCAUGAUAUUAUGCUCAUAAAGGGAUGUACCUCCAAAGAAUAUUAUGGUGCUGAAAACAGAAAACUUUUGAGUGUUUUAUUCCUCUUGGAACAAAGAAGAAGAGAGGGUGAAAAUGGAAGAUUUUAUGUUGAAAAACUGUAGAUACUCCACGGCUGUAGCACAGGAGGUAUCACACCAGCCACAAUUCAGACUGCUGCUGUGCCAACAAUUUGCUGCUUUUCCAUUGAUAUGGACUUAAACUAAAACUGAAUAAGAUUUAGAAUUUUAUUCUAAAUUAUGGGCAAUAGAUUUCAAUCAGAAUUUGAAUAUGUGGAAAAACUCCAAACAGUGGAAAUACAGAGUUAAAAUGCACACCACGUUUGCCGAUCACUCUCUGCUACAUUGUCAAUUUUUUUUCCCAUAUUUUAAUACAAGAGAAAGAGUAUUUUGAAACUUCACCUGCCUUUCUCAUGGUUAGCUCUCAUCGAUACCUUAUAGUUUCUAAAUCAUUCAUACAUGUAGACUGUGUUUUUUUGUAAAGCUGGAAUACCAUUUUGUACCAGCUUGAAAUAUCGCACAAGAAACAAGAAGGAAACUUUGGUCUCCAUUGCAUAUUGCAAUUCAUGCAGAAUUAGCAAUAAGAAAAUAU